rnacentral:rRNA from 1 species
CACGGGGGGAGCAAGCGUUGUUCGGAAUCACUGGGCGUAAAGGGCGUGUAGGCGGUUCGGUAAGUGGAAUGUGAAAUCCCUCGGCUCACCCGAGGACCUGCAUCCCAAACUGCCGAGCUUGAGUAUGGGAGAGGAUGAGGGAAUUCCUGGUGUAGCGGUGAAAUGCGUAGAUAUCAGGAGGAACACCAGUGGCGAAGGCGACUACCUGCCUGUUCUGACGCUGAGGCGCGAAAGCGUGGGAGCAACAGG